GACGAACGCUGGCGGCGUGCUUAACACAUGCAAGUCGAACGGUAAGGCCCUUUCGGGGGUACACGAGUGGCGAACGGGUGAGUAACACGUGGGUAAUCUGCCCUGCACUUCGGGAUAAGCCUGGGAAACUGGGUCUAAUACCGGAUAUGAGCUCUCACCGCAUGGUGGGGGUUGGAAAGUUUUUCGGUGCAGGAUGAGCCCGCGGCCUAUCAGCUUGUUGGUGGGGUAAUGGCCUACCAAGGCGACGACGGGUAGCCGGCCUGAGAGGGUGAUCGGCCACACUGGGACUGAGACACGGCCCAG
rnacentral:rRNA from 1 species